rnacentral:rRNA from 1 species
AAUCCAUAGGUUAAUGAGGCGAACCGGGGGAACUGAAACAUCUAAGUACCCCGAGGAAAAGAAAUCAACCGAGAUUCCCCCAGUAGCGGCGAGCGAACGGGGAGGAGCCCAGAGCCUGAAUCAGCAUGUGUGUUAGUGGAAGCGUCUGGAAAGGCGCGCGAUACAGGGUGACAGCCCCGUACACAAAAGCGCAUGUGCUGUGAGCUCGAUGAGUAGGGCGGGACACGUGGUAUCCUGUCUGAAUAUGGGGGGACCAUCCUCCAAGGCUAAAUACUCCUGACUGACCGAUAGUGAACCAGUACCGUGAGGGAAAGGCGAAAAGAACCCCGGCGAGGGGAGUGAAAAAGAACCUGAAACCGUGUACGUACAAGCAGUGGGAGCACAGGUUUACCUGUGUGACUGCGUACCUUUUGUAUAAUGGGUCAGCGACUUAUAUUCUGUAGCAAGGUUAACCGAAUAGGGGAGCCGGAGGGAAACCGAGUCUUAAUUGGGCGUUAAGUUGCAGGGUAUAGACCCGAAACCCGGUGAUCUAGCCAUGGGCAGGUUGAAGGUUGGGUAACACUAACUGGAGGACCGAACCGACUAAUGUUGAAAAAUUAGCGGAUGACCUGUGGCUGGGGGUGAAAGGCCAAUCAAACCGGGAGAUAGCUGGUUCUCCCCGAAAGCUAUUUAGGUAGCGCCUCGUGAAUUCAUCUCCGGGGGUAGAGCACUGUUUCGGCUAGGGGGCCAUCCCGGCUUACCAACCCGAUGCAAACUGCGAAUACCGGAGAAUGUUAUCACGGGAGACACACGGCGGGUGCUAACGUCCGUCGUGAAGAGGGAAACAACCCAGACCGCCAGCUAAGGUCCCAAAGUCAUGGUUAAGUGGGAAACGAUGUGGGAAGGCCCAGACAGCCAGGAUGUUGGCUUAGAAGCAGCCAUCAUUUAAAGAAAGCGUAAUAGCUCACUGGUCGAGUCGGCCUGCGCGGAAGAUGUAACGGGGCUAAACCAUGCACCGAAGCUGCGG